ACGAACGCUGGCGGCGUGCUUCACACCUGCAAGUCGAACGGAAAGGCCCUGCUUUUGUGGGGUGCUCGAGUGGCGAACGGGUGAGUAACACGUGAGUAACCUGCCCUUGACUUUGGGAUAACUUCAGGAAACUGGGGCUAAUACCGGAUAGGAGCUCCUGCUGCCUGGUGGGGGUUGGAAAGUUUCGGCGGUUGGGGAUGGACUCGCGGCUUAUCAGCUUGUUGGUGGGGUAGUGGCUUACCAAGGCUUUGACGGGUAGCCGGCCUGAGAGGGUGACCGGCCACAUUGGGACUGAGAUACGGCCCAGACUCCUACGGGAGGCAGCAGUGGGGAAUAUUGCACAAUGGGCGGAAGCCUGAUGCAGCAACGCCGCGUGCGGGAUGACGGCCUUCGGGUUGUAAACCGCUUUCGCCUGUGACGAAGCGUGAGUGACGGUAAUGGGUAAAGAAGCACCGGCUAACUACGUG
rnacentral:rRNA from 1 species